GAAGUGUUGGUUUCCUGAAAGGGAUUCCUUAUUCCGCUUCUACAGGUGGUGCAUGGCUGUCGUCAGCUCGUGUCGUGAGAUGUUGGGUUAAGUCCCGCAACGAGCGCAACCCUUAUUUUUAGUUCUAUUGUCUAAAAAGACUGCCGGUGACAAACCGGAGGAAGGUGAGGACGACGUCAAGUCAUCAUGCCCCUUACACCCUGGGCUACACACGUCCUACAAUGGGUAAGACAAUAAGUUGCAAAUCCGCGAGGACAAGCUAAUCUUUCAAACUUACUCCAAGUACAGAUUGCAGGCUGCAACUCGCCUGCAUGAAGGUGGAAUCGCUAGUAAUCGCUGGUCAGCUACACAGCGGUGAAUCCGUUCCCGGGCCUUGUACACACCGCCCGUCACACCAUGGAAGCUGGUUGUACCCGAAGUCGUUAUCCUAACCGCAAGGAAGGAGAUGCCGAAGGUAAAAUUAGUGACCGAGGUGAAGUCGUAACAAGGUA
rnacentral:rRNA from 1 species